GGGAUCGUACCUGCUCAUGGGUGUAUUUUCUGAAUAGCCGCAGUAAUUUGACUGUGCGAAGGUAGCAUAGUAAUUUGCCCUUUAAUUGGGGGCUGGUAUGAAUGGUUUGAUGAGGAAGUUUUUGUCUCUUUUAUAUUUUUUGGAAAUUUACUUUUAAGUGAAGAGGCUUAAUUUUUAUUAAAAGACAAGAAGACCCUAUCGAGCUUAAGAUUUAAGAGAUUUUGAAUAUUGACUAUAUUAAAAGUAUAAUAUUAAUGUUUUUUAGUUUUUGAUUGGGGCGAUUAAAAGUUAUGAUUAACACUUUUUGUUUUUUAAAUUUGUGUUUUGAUCCAGGAUUAUUACUGAUUAACAGAAUAAGUUACCGUAGGGAUAACAGCAUAAUUUUUUUGAAGAGUACAUAUUGUUAAGAAAGUUUGUGACCUCGAUGUUGGAUCAAAAUUUCCUAUAGGUGCAGUAGUUUAUAAGGGUUGGUCUGUUCGACUAUNAAAAUUUUA
rnacentral:rRNA from 1 species